UAUAAUUUUGCUAUACUAUAUAGCUAUAUCACAAUUACAUGAGGUAUUCAACAGAAAAAAUGUUGAAUAUCUAGGUCUCCUCCAUCACUGAACUGCCGUUGUUGACCAGUCCACAAGUUUUUUUUUGGAAUGUGAAAUUGUGAAUAAACAAAAUAUUAUCAACUUAGGAUUCAUCAAGACUGGAUCGUUGCCAAAAGAGAAGGGAUCAUAUGAUCAUAUUCUGAUCUUUUGCGAUUAUAUUUAAAUGAGUUGAUAGCAGAUCCAAUAUAUUCUGAUCUUUUGCGAUUAUAUUUAAAUAGCGAAUAACACAUUAUAAAAUCUAAUAUGGUCUUGGCACCAAAAUUAUAUAAGAACUUGUUUGUUGAGCCAACUAAUAUUGUCCGUUCUUUAAACAACAAAAUUCAAAAGAGAAGAUUUUAGAAAUUCAAUAAUCAAAAGCCAAAACGAAAAGGGGCAUUUCGGAAGAAAAUAGAUACUUAUUAGUUGUGGAAGCACCGUAGCCUAGUGGUUAAGGUUUAAAGGAUCUUAUACUCAGAUCUAGGGUUCGAAUCCCAGACUAUGCAAUUUAUUGCAGAUUACAGGAAUCCAGGUUUCAAAUUCUGGAGAGAGCGAUUUAUUAAACAAUUAUGCAGACUACGGAAGAAAGACUUACAAGGGAUCUUCAAUAUGGUGCAAGUAAUAUCUGGCCAAUCGUGGAUUUUCAUAGGACGGCUCAGGUGAUACAGUUAGGCGUAGGUCUUUAUAAGACAGUUAGUAUUGUCGAUUGUCAAAUCGUUUAUGUAAUCUUUCUCAUAUCAUAAUUGUAAUAUCAUAAUAAAUCAGCGUUAAAAAAAAAAUACUUAUUAGUCAUUGAUAUAACAUUUAUUCCUUGGUCCAUAUUCAUCUCAUCUGCUUUGGUUAAAAGUCGGUUUGACCAGAGAACAUAAACUCACUCACAAACGUGUCAGAUGAACAAGAGCUCAACAACAACAAAUUAUGUGUGAUUAGGGUGUCAACAUUUGAGAACAUAGCUUAGUGUGAUAUUGGCAAGAGAACAUAGCUUAGUGUGAUAUUGGUAAAACUUACAGUAGAGGCAAUGCAAAUGAAAUAGAAAAGGAAUACUAUGUUGGAGGCUUGGAGCCGGCUUAAUGGUGUUAUGGACUCUGGAGUAAAAAAAAAAAUUAAUUUCUAAACUAUUAUUUUUUUUUAAAACUGAUAUAUAUAUAUUUUUUAUAAUACCUGAAGUAUUUUUAAAAAUAAAUCUGUGAAAAUUAAAAAAAAAAAUACUUUCAUAUAAAAAAAUUGGACUUUUUUUAUUUUUAAUAUAAAAAUACAUGUUUUAAAAAAAAAAAAUCGGACUCUUAUCUAUUAAAAAAUAAGAGGACAACAGAUUUGACCCGGAACGGUCGCACCGCUUGUCCCUUAUCUAAGCCGGUCCUGUGUUGGAGAAGAAAAAGAAAAGAGUAUCAAGUUGUUUGUAACCUCACGCUUCGGACACAAGCAACCCUAACUUCAAGUCUUUUUUCAGGAAUUUCCAAUCCGCCACGCAAAACACACUAGUUUUGUCAUUUUCUGACAUGAACUCACUAAAUGAAUGUAACCCUUUUAUUAAUAUAGUAACAGCAUCUUCUGUUAAACACAAUCAAAUAUCACGUUCCCCUGAAGAGUUAUUCUGGGAAGCCGUUAAAGGACGUGCACGCCUUCGUUGGGGUCGACACAUCAGAAGGAAGAUGAUGAGUAGAAACCUCAGGCCGGUGGUUUUCCAUCGACAGACUACCCAUGGUUGGGUUUUUCUUUCGGCGUCGCACUUUUCUCUUAGUGGUCGGCCGGCUUUGACUCUGACGGUACAUCAGACCUUCCGAUGUUACCGUUGGCUCUUGGCUCCACGUCUUAUUUUUCUUCACGGUGGUGACGGUGGCUUUUCCGGGUCUAUCCCGGUUUCUGUUUGAUCUUAGCUUCUUCAAACUUCUUCUGUUUCCAUCGGUUCGUUGUUGGAUUGGAUCGACAACGUUGUUCCUUGAUUGAAACUUCAAAUUAAGAAGCGAGAUCCUUUGGCUUUAGUUUUCUCGUGGGUCUGUUGAAUUUCGUUGGAGAAUCAAGUCGUCUUGAUUUGAUUUUUAUAUUUGGAUGUGUGGAAAUCUCACGCUGUAAACUAAGGUGUUGUUGAUAAUGGCAUCUUCAUCUCUUGAUAUCGUCGACGGCGAGGCACUUUGAACGGGGUCAUGUUUCCGGUUUGUUUCCGGUGGGCCAGCCGAUUAGAACUUCGCCGGAGAUGUCUUUGUCACUGAAGUGCGGUGGUAACUCGCAUGAUGGGCACGUGUCCCUGUCACGCUAAAAGCAACGCGUGGAGUUCGAGUUGUUACUGACUUUGUUUGGACUUUUUUUUGGUUGCCUGGUUUAUGGGCUGUUGUUGGGCCUCGUCUAUGGGAUUUGUCUUUCCCAUGUACUGUUUGGAUUUUGGUCUAUGUUUAAUAAGAUCAACAAUGUGACAAAAAAAAAAUCAGCCAGCCAUUAUCUACAUGGUGUAUUGCUUAAUAGUGCCGAUCGAUACGUAUCUUGUAAAUCUAAUUAACUAUGUAUGGUAUAAACACUUGCGUAAAGUUUAAAAAUCUUCAAAAGAUUUGUAUAUGGAAGAUGAAAUCUUAGUUGCACCAUCUUAAAACAGCAUCUCCCUGCUAAUUAUGGAAGAUGAUUAAAUAGUUUAUUUCUGGUUGCACAUCACAAUAAGUUUGGUUUCCAGCGCACCUAAAUCCUAAUAAUAUCGCUUUCACGCAUCAUCACGCCCAAGUCCUCUCUUUUUUUUUUUUUUUGUGUGGUCAUAAUAAUUGGGAAUAAAGUAAUAGUAGUAUAUCUCUUUAUAUUUGUUUACGUUUUAGGAAUUUUGCAAGUUAGUCGGUCGGCUUGCUAUGAUGUCACUAUGAAAUGAACCUAAUUCAUGAUGAGAAAGAUAUCAAUAUUACUAUAUAAGAGUAAAUAUAUCUACUUAUCUAGUAGUAUGAUAUCAAAAAUUGAACAAUAUGAUGGUGGCAUAUACUGUUACAGGUAAUGAAAACGUCUACCCCCAUUUUCAUUCCCCUUUCUCGUCUUUUAUAAAAUUGAAUCCCUUAUUUCACCUUUCUUCAUCAGUUUUUCGUACAAUUUAUUGCCAUGCGUGCGCCUCUUAGAAGAUCUAGAACACUACUAGUAAUAUUUAUAGCCGGCUUAUCUCUCAUGAUGUCACUCACUAUAAUUUGAAUAUAUGAUAUUUAUUUUUAACUACCAUUCUUUUUUUUCUGAUAAACUCUAUCGGCUGAUCCGGUAAACCCCGGGAGAAAUGCACUUAGUGCUACAGAGUGGACUAAUCCGAAAGCGUACCACACAGUCUGACCCGAGUUUGGAAUAUCUUCCGACUAAUGCCAGGAGAUAGACCAAUCAUCUGUUAUGGUCCACCAUAUAAACUUCUUGGACCGAAAUCCAGGUCCAGACUGGCCAAAUAGCGAUAAUUUAGUUCCCAGAAUUACAAAACAAAAAUUAUGACCUAUCAAUUAUUUAAACUCCAUACUCUAAAUAAACAAAGAUCUCACGUAAGACAUAAAAAGCUAUUUAACGCUCACAUAAAUAGUCCCCGACCCUUCUUCCCAUUUUGAGAGCAGCCAAGUAGAAACAACAUAAAAUACUUGUCAUUUAGCAAAAGCAUAGGCCACAGUAACAGAAUCAGGUGGUGUAGUUACAAAAGCGUAUAGAAUAGCAUGA